GAGGGUGCAAGCGUUGUUCGGAAUCACUGGGCGUAAAGCGCGCGCAGGCGGAUGGUUGCGUCCGGAGUGAAAUUUCGCCGCUCAACGGCGAAGCUGCUUUGGAUACGGACCGUCUAGGGACCGGUAGAGGCUGGUAGAAUUGCAGGUGUAGCGGUGGAAUGCGUAGAGAUCUGCAAGAAUACCCGUGGCGAAGGCGGCCAGCUGGGCCGGAUCCGACGCUGAGGCGCGAAAGCGUGGGGAGCAAACAGGAUUAGAUACCCUGGUAGUCCACGCCGUAAACGAUGGGCACUAGGUGCCGGGGGGAGCGACCCCCUCGGUGCCGCAGCUAACGCGAUAAGUGCCCCGCCUGGGGAGUACGGCCGCAAGGCUG
rnacentral:rRNA from 1 species